CGCGCAAAUUACCCACUCCCGGCACGGGGAGGUAGUGACGAAAAAUAACGAUACGGGACUCAUCCGAGGCCCCGUAAUCGGAAUGAGUACACUUUAAACCCUUUAACGAGUAUCCAUUGGAGGGCAAGUCUGGUGCCAGCAGCCGCGGUAAUUCCAGCUCCAAUAGCGUAUAUUAAAGUUGUUGCGGUUAAAAAGCUCGUAGUUGGAUUUGUGUCCCACGCNGUCGGUUCACCGUUCGUCGGUGUUUAACUGGCAUGCCCGUGCGGACGUCCUGCCGGUGGAUGCGGUCGGCCGUGGGCCCCUGGUCUGCGCGUCGGCGGUCCGAUGCAAUCCUACCGCGGUGCUCUUCACCGAGUGUCGAGGUGGGCCGGCACGUUUACUUUGAACAAAUUAGAGUGCUCAAAGCAGGCAGUGGUUCGCCUGAAUAUUGUGUGCAUGGAAUAAUGGAAUAGGACCUCGGUUCUAUUUUGUUGGUUUUCGGAACUUGAGGUAAUGAUUAAUAGGGACAGACGGGGGCAUUCGUAUUGCGACGUUAGAGGUGAAAUUCUUGGAUCGUCGCAAGACGAACCUAAGCGAAAGCAUUUGCCAUGAGUGUUUUCAUUAAUCAAGAACGAAAGUUAGAGGUUCGAAGGCGAUCAGAUACCGCCCUAGUUCUAACCAUAAACGAUGCCAGCUAGCGAUCCGCCGAAGUUCCUCCGAUGACUCGGCGGGCAGCUUCCGGGAAACCAAAGCUUUUGGGUUCCGGGGGAAGUAUGGUUGCAAAGCUGAAACUUAAAGGAAUUGACGGAAGGGCACCACCAGGAGUGGAGCCUGCGGCUUAAUUUGACUCAACACGGGAAACCUCACCAGGCCCGGACACCGGNAGGAUUGACAGAUUGAGAGCUCUUUCUUGAUUCGGUGGGUGGUGGUGCAUGGCCGUUCUUAGUUGGUGGAGCGAUUUGUCUGG
rnacentral:rRNA from 1 species